UACGGAGGGAGCUAGCGUUGUUCGGAAUUACUGGGCGUAAAGCGCACGUAGGCGGCUUUGUAAGUUAGAGGUGAAAGCCCGGGGCUCAACUCCGGAAUAGCCUUUAAGACUGCAUCGCUUGAAUCCGGGAGAGGGAUGCGGAAUUCCAGGUGUAGCGGUGAAAUGCGUAGAUAUCUGGAGGAACACCGGUGGCGAAGGCGGCAUCCUGGACCGGCAUUGACGCUGAGGCGCGAAAGCCAGGGGAGCAAACGGG
rnacentral:rRNA from 1 species